ensembl:lncRNA
CAGAUUCAGAGUUGGACAUGGUGCGAAGUCAGUACUUUGCAUUGCUCCACAGUGGAAAGAAAAAGGAAUGUAAGAUGUCGAAGGAGCUCUGUUGCAGACUUGUAAGGAACACAGUGACCAGCAUGGUUGCAAUCCUCCGUGCUAGUCCCAUGGGGAAAGAAGUAAGAUACCCCUCCAAACUCGAAAUGAGAGCAAUGUCACAGAAGAUUGUCGACUAUUACCCCAUGUUACGUGAUGCUGACACACACAUGCCAUACGUAAGUCAUUCUUUACCCACUACAAUAUCUAAAAUUGAGUGAGAUAAUAAAAGGAUGUACAAAUAUAUAUUAUUUUACCACAGCUGACCAUCUACACAAAACUGUACAAACGACUCCAAAAUAUGAAGUCUCCAAGGAAGAGGCAGGGCUCCAUGCCGCAACGAGGCAGGCCCAGGAAGACUCUUUUCAGCUCAGACGACACAGACAAUGGGACUGAAGGUGACCUAAGUGGUGAAGCAAGUGGUUCAAGUGACUAUACCAUACUUCUUGAGAGCAAUGAUGACCUCAGCGAGGAUAACUCAAAUGCAGAGAAAGAAUCCCAAUUGCCGCUACCCUCCACUGUACCAACUACGUCAAACAAUACUACCCUGGCUUUACCACUAUUAUCCAAGUCAGCCUCAUGCUCUGCACCCAGGGCUGAUAUAGGUCCAUCAACUGCACCUCCAGAUGAUGUUGUUGCAGACCAUGACAGCCUGAAGAUGCAGGCAAGGCAUUACAAAACCUUGAGUAACAUGUACAGGAAACUCAAUGCAAAACCCAACCAAAGUGACGUUGCUCAAAUUUUGGACCUGGAGUUUGAGGCCAGACGAGCUUUUAUUGACGCAGAUGUUACAAGGGAAGAAGACAGGCCCAGAAAAAUAUUUGAAGCAUACCCGUGCUUCAAAGACAUACGAAAUGCGAUGGAUGAACUGCGUCGCAUCGUUGGUGGCUUCAACUGCAAAUACAUAGAUCAAAUGAAGGGUCGAUGGGCAGAGUUUUGUUCGAAGGUGCAGUUCUAUGGCAUUUGGAAGAAGGUCCUGAAACCACCUCUCCCCUUGGAUGUACAUGGAGUGGAUUUUACUGUCACUCUCUUCAAUGCACUUCCAUCUCUUUUUCCUUCAAAAACUACACCACCAAAGCGGCUGGGAAGUGCCAGUGAGGCUCUCCUUCAUAUCCUCAAGCCGGGUGAAGAUGCUAUGCUAUACCUGGAGAAGCGGCCUCUCUCCUCCCCAGUGCUGCUUUUUGAUGGCACAACCAGCAUUGUUGCUGUAGGAAACAUACCAGUGACCAC